rnacentral:misc_RNA from 1 species
GAUGAAGAACGCAGUGAAAUGCGAUAAGUAGUGUGAAUUGCAGAAUUCAGUGAAUCAUCGAAUCUUUGAACGCACAUUGCGCCCUUUGGUAUUCCUUAGGGCAUGCCUGUUCGAGCGUCAUUUAAACCUUCAAGCUAAGCUUGGUGUUGGGUGACUGUCCGCUUCACGGCGGACUCGCCUCAAAAUUAUUGGCGGCCGGUACAUUGGCUUCGAGCGCAGCAGAAACGCGAACUCGGGCCCGUCGUGUUGGCUCCCAGAAGCUAUCUUCACAAUUUUGACCUCGGAUCAGGUAGGGAUACCCGCUGAACUUAAGCAUAUCAAUAAGCGGAGGA